GAUACCCUGGUAGUCCACGCUGUAAACGAUGAGUGCUAGGUGUUGGCCAGCGAUGGUCAGUGCCGAAGUUAACACAUUAAGCACUCCGCCUGGGGAGUACGUACGCAAGUACGAAACUCAAAGGAAUUGACGGGGACCCGCACAAGCAGCGGAGCAUGUGGUUUAAUUCGAAGCAACGCGAAGAACCUUACCAAGGUUUGACAUCCCCUUGACAGAUGCAGAGAUGUGUCCUCCCCUUCGGGGGCAAGGGAGACAGGUGGUGCAUGGUUGUCGUCAGCUCGUGUCGUGAGAUGUUGGGUUAAGUCCCGCAACGAGCGCAACCCUUAUCCUUAGUUGCCAGCAGGUUAAGCUGGGCACUCUAAGGAGACUGCCGAUGAUAAAUCGGAGGAAGGUGGGGAUGACGUCAAAUCAUCAUGCCCCUUAUAUCUUGGGCUACACACGUGCUACAAUGGUCGGUACAACGGGGAGCGAAAGAGCGAUCUGGAGCAAAUCCCAAUAAACCGAUCCCAGUUCGGAUUGUAGGCUGCAACUCGCCUACAUGAAGUCGGAGUUGCUAGUAAUCGCGAAUCAGAACGUCGCGGUGAAUGCGUUCCCGGGUCUUGUACACACCGCCCGUCACACCAUGGAAGUUGGUAAUACCCGAAGUCGCUGAGCUAACCGUAAGGGGGCAGGCGCCGAAGGUAGGAUCAAUGACUGGGGUG
rnacentral:rRNA from 1 species